GCUGAUAAGACGCACGGAAACACCGUGUCAGGGGCUGUGCAGCCACGCUAAUGCUACAUUUAGAUGCAAGAAUUUGACAGCUUCAUUACUGUGAUUGUCCCUGAGCACUUAUGUAAGGAAAGAGGCUGUUCUCCCCACCAGCUCCCAGGCCCACAGCAUCUAUGCCUGAGCUCCUCAGCAUUUGGAGAGGAGGUGGCCACUGGUUGUACUGACCCCAGACCACUGUCAUAGGGUAAACAUUCCAGGCACCUCAUUUCCUCCUCACAACCACUCUGCCAGGCAGAUAUUGUUAUCACCAUUUAACAAGGAAAAGGAUGAGAUUCAGAGAGGCACAGUAACCACGCUUUCAGCUGCGAGGUACAGAACACUCAGCCACAAGUGGCUGAGACGCAUGGUCAUCAAGUCUAAAAGUAAGAACUCAGAGGUAAUGCUGCAGUAAUUCUUGCCUGCUAUCUUGCAAAUGAGAGACAGGGCAGGACAGCGUGGCUGGAUCAGUGACGCACCGUCAUAAACGAGGAAGAAGCUCACAGGCUUCUGGGGCUCCUAGGAGGCCUUGUCACAUUCCACAUUUUUUCUGCAAGAGCUCAAAAGUUGCCUUCUCUGGAAGCUUCCGUGACUUCAGCAGAUGUUUUCCCCUUUCUUGGUUCACUCUGUCAUUUUGGUGGAGCACAUCUUCAGUAGCCUCUUGGAUGCAUGGGAGCAUGGAGCCUGCCAGCCUGCUUCUACCUGGAUCCUAUUUGCCACCUUGGAACAGAAGCUGUCUUGUCAAUGUGUGCAAUGAUUACAUUGGGGGAAGAUGGAGAAGCACAGAACAUUUAUCAACAUAUACCAUAUGUUGGGCUAUAAAACAAGUCUUUUUUUUUGAGGAAGAUUAGCCCUGAGCUAACAUCUGCCACCAAUCCUCCUCUUUUUGCUGAGGAAGACUGGCCCUGAGCUAACACCUGUGCCCAUCUUCCUCUAUGCUAUGUCGGAUGCCUACCACAGCAUGACUUGACAAACAGUGCAUAGGUCUGCACCUGGGAUCCGAACCAGCUAACCCCAGGCCACCAAAGUGGGAAGUGUGCACUUAACCACUGUGCCACCGGGCCAGCCCCCAAACAAGUCUUAAUAAAUUUAAAAGAAUUGAAAUCACACAGAGUAUACCUUCUAUGUGACCCAAGUGGAAUUUAGGUAGCAAUAAAUGAUGGAAAGUUAUCCAGAAAAACCCUAAAUUUUUGGAAAUUAAACAACAUACUUCUGAAUAACCCAUAAAUCAAGUAAGAAAUCUCAAAGGAAAUUAGAAAAUAUUUUGAGCUGAAUGAUAACGAAAAUACAACAUAUCAGAAUUUGUGGGUUACAGCAAAAGCACUGGGAAAGUUAUACACUUAAACACUUAUGUUAGAAAAG
rnacentral:lncRNA from 1 species